GCCCAACAAACUCUGGAUAACUCAGUCGAAACAGCGCGGGACUCUUAAAUCGCAUUUUUGUGGGUUCGAGCCCCACGUUGGGCA